UUGGGCAUAAGCUUUCGUGGGUAAAAACCUCACUUCUUCAGAUGUAUAGAGUGAAAGUGAUUCUAGUGUGAUACAAAUAAUGAAUAACAGUGAUGAUGAUAAUAACAAACAACAAUCGUGUAACUCAUCUGUUCCAUUUUCCUUUCCCAUUUAGGGCCAAUGAUCCAAACCACAUCCAUUGCACUGAGUUCAAAGAUGAUCUCAGCGUUACAGGGUGAAACGGUGAAAGCAGUCUGUGCGCAGAACAUCAACGAAACGGAAGGGCUCGCUAUAACUCUGAGAAAAAAUGGCAGUUCUGCUGAGCUAUGUUACAUACAGCUUGGAAAUUCCACCAUUUGGAACAUAAAUUGCACAGACCAUAUAAACCUAGAAUACAAUAAACCGACAAAAGAGUUUUAUGUUGUUAUGGAGAGAGUCUCUGUCAAACAGUCUGGUGUUUACAACUGCACCUUGGACAAGACACUUCCCCCUCCUGUGAGAAUGUUAAGCCAGUUGCACUUUUCCCUCACAGUGUCAGCUCUUCCAGUGGUUGAGGUUUUUUUGGCCUCUUCUUCAUCCAUUGACAAGGAGACCACGUUAACUUGCCUUGCUUGGGACUUCUAUCCUGGAGACAUCCAGCUCUCCUGGAGUAAGGACAGCCAGUUGCUCACUAACUCAACAAGGAAUGACUCUCUGUUCCACAAUAGCAACGGGUCUUAUUCCUAUAUAAGUAACCUUGUUGUUUCCAAACAUGACUGGAAUGAAUUUGCCCAGUUUUUCUGCCAAGUGAAUCACUCUACACUGAAAAUGCCUGUUGUGAAAAACCUCACCCUGACCCAGUCUGGUAAAGCAAUUUCUGAAAUGUCAAGUCCAUACCUACGGGUUUUUGUCAUAUCUAGUAUGAUGCUGCUGCUGCUGCUAAUAUCAUAUGUUGUUCUGAAGAAGUAUACGAAGCCAUCUCAAGAAAUGGUGGAGGAGGAACAGCAUCUUUAGUUUUGAUUCAACUCCCCGCUCGCCCUGUUGUGCUCAACCUUAU